AUAUAAAAGUCUAGGAUUGGACUAUGAUCCAAAAAAAGCCAAACUGUAAAUGUGACCUGCAGAGUGACUCGUGAUUAUCAUGUGAAGCUGAUGAUAGUUUGUAAUCAUUUUUCAAUUGUUGAACAUUUCGUAUGGUUUAAGCAUAAAUGAAGAGAUACAUACAUCUAUUAGCCUGUUCCUUAACACACAAAAAAGGCCGAUAAGGAAGACGAUGGAAAAUAAAGAAGGAAGAAGAAGAAGCCUGAAAAUCAAAUGAUGUUCAUCGUUAUUGCUUCUUAAACACAUUAAGUUGAACAUCAUCAUCACCAUCAACAUUUGAUCUCAUACAGAGAUACAUAUUGGAGUCACCAAGGCCAAGGCCAUUUCCAUGUCCAUUGAUGAACCCCAGGUAGUUUUGGUCCUCAUACUUGGCCUAUUACUUUCUCUUUCACAAAGAAAGUAAAACUUUCUCUUGUUGGUCAUUCACAAUGAUCAUUUGUAAAGUAACAAUGUUCAACAAAUGAAAAUUAUGAUGAAUUGCUUUUCAAUGGACAAGAAUUGAUUUUGAAACAAGCAAAAAGAAAUGGAAGGAAAAAAGCUGAAGAAAUGAUGAAAAAAGUGAAGAAGCAAAAGUUUAUUUUAAAUUAUUAUAUUUUCUGAGUAAUCAUAAUUCACUUUGUCAUUCACUUGAAAGCAAACUGACCAUACGAAGGGGGCCAACAUCAUCACCAGCUACAUCAUCUUCCGUUUCAAUCCUUUCAACUCUUUAACCAAAAACCAGAAAAUCCAUUUACUCCUUCUUUUCACCUCAACCACAAACUAAAAGGUUAAUUUUAAAAGCUUCAAAACAUGAUAAAUGGUAAUUCAUGAACCUAAAGAUAUUGAUAUGAUAAUAUAUUGAUAAAUAACAAUGAGAUUUGUCGGCUCAAUUUCGGCUCAAUCAAUCGAUAUAAUUUGCUCAAUGUUGUGACCAACCUCUAACCUGCCGACUGGUUAAUCUAAUUUUUCGGCUAUAAAUGGAUUUAUGAAUUAUUGUGAUUAACCUUGAUUAUUGUUGCUGUUAUUGUUAACUUCAAAUUUCAAAGGAUUUUCAAAAUUGUCUUGUCACAACAACCUAUUAUUGUUAUUAUCGACAUCAUCUCAUCGUUUUUGUCCCGUCAAAGUGAAAAGUGAAAGGCUUAUGAAUCCAUGCAACAAUGGGUCAAUGCUGAUUAUAUUAAAAAUGAAUAGUUCUGGUUUAUCUGUCUAAUCAUAACGGUUUACAACAAUAACCAAAUUAGUUUUGUAUUGAUCAUAAUCAUUCUGGUGUUAAAUUGUCUCCAAAUAAUACAAUUUAAAGAUAAACAUUGACAUUGUUUCGGAAUGAAAACAUUACGAGUUAAGUGUAAGAUCUUGGUGAAUGACCAUUAUAUUACUGGGUAUUUCAAGUGAAAGACGGUCCUCUGUUUUUAUCAAUGGUUAACCUGAUUUGCAUAUGAAAUGACCAAGUUUACACUUGUUUGUUACCUUGUUUAAUCAAGUUAUCAAGUUUAUCGAGUUACUUAAAAGGACUAUUUGGUUAACCUGUUGAAUGUUUGAUUUUUAUUUUGCCUUUGAAGAGCAAUAUUUACUUGGUAAAGUUAUCUAUUGAAAUAUCUCAAUUUUUGUUUCACCAUUUCGAUUGAGCUGAUUGAAAAUUAUUAGCUGUUAUUAUUUAUUUAGUAAUCAACAAAAUAUAUCAUCUUGGACUUCAACAUUUAAAUCGAUUUUGUAUGGCAAUAAAGAUGGACCAAGAAGCAAAUUGAAAAACGAAAGUGAUGACCAACUGAUGGGCUUUUUAUUAUCAUUAUUGGACAAUCAUUAAACCUCAAAACAUGAGAUUCCCAUUUUGUUUUAUAAUUGGUAAACAAUUUAAAGUCGAUUAACACAACCAUCAUCUUUAUUCAAUGACACUUUCAAUGGAAACGAUAUUUAAUUAACUGUUAAUUGCUACUCAACUUUAGACAUCAAAAUUCACCUUCACCCAACAAUAAUCUUUUACUAUUUGGCUGUAAACUUUAUUCCCAUAUAUUGUUUCUAGGCUUGGUCAACCCAUAAAGGUUGAAGGUUAACCUUGAUUUGGAUCGUUUGUUGGGAAUAUUCAAGUAAAAUGAAGAUGAUAAAGUGUUUGAUAUCAACUGAAAAAGAUGAUCAUUGUUUAGCUUCUUGAACACAAGCAACGAUUAUUACAGACGCAAUGUUAACGAUAUAAACCUUGAAAUGGUGAAAAACUGUGAAAUUUGUUCAGUAGAAAGGCAAUUUUUUGGUGGUUACUUCAAAAGUUUGGUAAAAAUAAAAGACAUAAACAAGUUACCUUUCUUACUUCUUCA